GAAAUUGCUCUCGCAACUGCAUCGCUCUCCUCUCUCUCUCUCCUUGCGCCGCCCCCCGAAACUACGCUCCACGCUCAUGGCGAACUACGCCGAGCACCACCAAAACACUCGUUAGGGUUCCGUCUCCCUCGACCUCUACGGUGAGGGUGAAACCCUCGACCUCUACGGUGAAGAGUUUUCCAUCUUGAAGAACAGCAAUCAUGUUGGCAUUGCGGAUGGUUGACAACCUGUGCGCCACAAUGACUGUCGUACGACCCUCCAUGAGCCCAUUUAGAGCUUCUUGCACCAGCUUCUCAGAAGCCGUAUCGAGAGCACUGGUGGCCUCAUCUAGAAGAAGAAUUGCUGGAUCUUUCAAAAUGGCUCUAGCAAUUGCCACCCUCUGUUUCUGACCCCCCGACAGCUGGGCUCCGCGUUCCCCAACAUGGGUAUUGUACCCAUUGGCCAAUCGGCUUAUAAAGCCAUGAGCAUUCGCUGCUUUGGCUGCUUUCAUUACCUCUAUCUCAGAAGCACCAGCUUUCCCGUAUGCGAUAUUUUCAUAGAUUGUGGUGGAGAACAACGCUGGCUCUUGCUGAACCAGUCCUAUUUGUUUUCUCAGUGACCUCAAGUUUAGACUCUGGAUAUCAGUUCCAUCAAUCAGUAUCAUCCCUGAGUUUGGAUCGUAGAAUCUUACUAUGAGCGAUAUUAUAGAGCUCUUUCCUGACCCACUUCUUCCCACUAAAGCAAGGCUUCUUCCAGCUUCUACAUGUAAGCUUAAGUUCCGCAAUACAGUGACACAAGGCCUUGUUGGGUACUUGAAGCUCACAUCCCUGAACUCUAUCUGUCCUCGGAUAUUCUCAGGCUCUAUAGAUUCAUCGGGUUUUAUAUCGAUCUUUCUUUCAAGUAGAGAAAAGACUGUGGUAAGUGCUUGCGAUCCCUUUACGAUGUCGGGAGUUAGGGCUAGGGUCUCUGCAAUGCUGAGUGCAGUGAUUAUUAACACCAUGAAGGACUUAAUGAUACUACCAAAGUCCGAUUCUCGGUGCUUAAGAAGCUGCGAGGAAUACCAAAGGCCAAGUGCAUAAGAGCAGUAGGCGAAUAACUGGGAGAGGCCGUAGCCUAUGCCUGAUAUAUGCCCACGUAAACAGGCUUCUCUGUUAGGCUUCUGUAGUUUACUGAUAAAUUGGAGUGAUAUCCGGUCCUCAGCACCAAAUGCCGCUAUUGUUUUGAUGUUGGCAAUCGCUUCUUGUGCCACGGAAGUUGCUUGAGCAUAGGCAAUCGUGUAAUUCCCUCCAAAUCCCUUGAGAAACAGGUGCUGCAUGGAGUGCAUAGAAAUAGUUAACAAAAUUUAUCCCUGUUAGGCUUCAUGAUAGGAGUUGCUAAAGUACUUCCUGAUCAUUACCUCAGCUAUUGCAGCACCAAUGAGUAGAGGGAACGUGGCAAUGACAACUGCUGCUAAACGCCAACUAAGAAGAAAUGAUAUGACAAAUGCGGUCGCUGUAAGUGAUAGAUUCUGAAUGAUGGUUGACAACCUCUCGGAAACUAUGCUUCGCAUUAGUGUUGCUUCAAUUGCCAAAGUUGACAUAUGGUGACAGAUUGGUUUCCAGCUACAUUGUUAUGUGAUUGCUUUUGAAGCAAAUGAAAAGACAUAUUUGUAUCCACUGUUAGAUCAAUGUAUUCCGAUGAGGGAGCUGCUGAUUGAUACCUGAGAACAUAAGUAGGCGGACACGCGUGAAUCUUUCAAUCAUGGAAAUAAUGGUGCUCUUUCCUGAUCCACUCUGACCGACAACAGCUGUAGUUUUUCCGGCGCUGAUUGUGAAAUUUAAGCCGUUGAAAACCACGCUCUUCCUUGACGGGUAAGCGAAAGACACCUCACAAAACUUGAUUUCACCUUCCACUUGUGGUAAUACCAUUCCAUCAUCCGAUGUUUUUGAUGUACUUGGAGCCUUUUCUAUCAUGCUGAUAAUCUUUCUUGCUGCAGCAUGGCCUUUCGCAAGAGAACUAAUGUUUGGAGCUGCUUGACCAAGAGCGCUGCAUAUGUAGUUUAUUUGUUAAAGAGAUUACAUCUAUGUUUUAAAAAAACAGUAAAAAAAUGUAUGGAGACCCCUGCAACUGUUAGCCAUCUUAAAAUAGAUACCCGCCCCCAAUUUUAUGUUUUGAUUGAGAUCCCCUUGCCUUUUGAUUGCUCUGAUUUGAGUUAUUUCAGUCAAUUGACUAUCAAGCAAAUGAAUUUGGGCGAUCUAUUUCAAAAUGGCCAAUAGCUGAAGGAUCUACAUACUUUUUUACCCGAAAAAAUAACAAUUAUAAGGGAUAUUAUCCAUUAGAUGAUCUUACAAUCCACUGAAGAUAACAUUUAGGAUCGUUGUGAAUGCUUUACCACCAUUCGUGACACCAUGCCUAACAAGGAGACCAGCAUACCAAAGGAGUAGUGCCCAUGCACAAAAUAACAGCCCAUAGGUCGAACCUACUCCAAGUCCUUUUACAAGUCCACCUUUUGUUCCCAAUUUCAGUGCCUUUCUAAGUGAUUUUGAGUAUGCUUCAAUUGCUUUUUCUUCCCCUACGUACGAAUACACUGUCCGGACCUGUGAAAUUACCUGAUCCAUGGAGAGUAUGGUUGUGACAAUUCAAAUUAAGGCUAAUAGAGACGUCAAAAGUUAGUCAAAUUCUAGCAUACUUUUAUGCAUAUUUAUGAUGCUUAUACUCUGUCAGAUACUCGACGGAUAAUACAAUGCAGAAUAAUUUUCUGGUUGGGGUAUGAAAUUAUUGAUGAUCUCUUCUGUCUUACUUGAAGGAAGACAAUCUCUCAUAACAUUUUUUAGCAUUUUACAACUCUUGCUUUCAUGGAAACCAAUAUUAAAAUGAUCUGUCAAUGGAAAAUAGGAAGAAAAGGUAAGAGGUAUCACCUCUUCUGCAACUUUUCCGGCUUCAGCAUAUGCAGUUUCACCCUUCUUCGACAGACUGGACAUUAUAACAGUAUAUGUGCCUCCGGCGAUUACCAUUAGUGGUACAACAGCUAAGGAGACAACAUAAAUAAUCGUGUGCUCGAGCAAAGUCAAGUCGUCAAGUAAAUCUGCUGCUUCCUGCUUACUUUAUCGCCUAUUGCGUCCUGGAUGAGCACAGCAUCACUUGUUAUGUGGUAAAAUAUGUGUUUUCUAGGGCUUUCCCUUGCAGCGUUGAAUAUGCAAGCUGAGUUCUCAACCGUGUUUAAGGUCUCACAGUAAUGCUUCGAGAACCACAACGUGGACCUCAGCAAUACUUCACUCAAGAAGCAGAGUCAUCAACUACUUUUGAAGAGACCUUUUAAGGUCCCACAGCAAUGCUCCAGUUGAGAAGCUGGGCCUCAGCAACACUCUGGUCAAGACGCAAAACAAAAGUGUUACCUUUGAGACCUCUGAAGCAAGUUUAUGGGGGUGUGUAGAGAGAGAGCCCAAGGAGUCGAUCAAGCGGCCGAAGAGCAUGAAGAAGAUGGGCAAUGCAGCUCCAUGGACGCAUGAUCCGAUGCCGCCGAGCACCAUCAACACGCAGUCCGCCCGGUUGGCGAAGGCGAAGAGGUUGGUUCUUGAUUCGUUAUCGUCUGCGCCUCGGGUGCUCGACACCUCAUUCUCGUUGUUCUCAUGAGUGUCUCCCAUGGACGCAGAGUUGUUGAGAUGUUGAAAUGGGUUCGAGUUUCGGAAGCAAAAGGUGGUGCAGAGAGAGAGAGAGAGAGGNUUGUUAAGCCACGAAGGCGAGGAGAGUUUGUUCGCAGCGUAGUUCUCGUGAAGAGCUAGAGCUAGAUCACCAAAUGAGACUCGAAAAGUUAUUGAAUAUAUGAGCAGUAAAGUUUAUGGAUGGUCAGUGUGUUGUACCAUGUCAUGAAAUUGCGGCUUCAAUUUGGCUCUACUGUAGGGUGCAGUAGUACUAUUUGACAGUUGCUAUUAGAAAUAAUACUUACAUUAAGUUCUCUCCAACAACUC